rnacentral:tRNA from 2 species
GCGCCCGUAGCUCAGUUGGACAGAGCAGGAGCCUUCUAAGCUCUUGGCCGGGGGUUCGAAUCCUCCCGGGCGCGCCA